AUCGAACGCUGGCGGCAGGCCUAACACAUGCAAGUCGAGCGAGCGGAGGACGGGUGAGUAAUGUAUGGGGAUCUGCCCGAUAUAGGGGGAUAACUACUGGAACCGGUGGCUAAUACCGCAUACUAUCGGUUGAACCCAUAUGGGAUUAGCUACGUGGUGGGGUAAAGGCUCACCUAGGCGACGAUCUCUAGCUGGUCUGAGAGGAUGAGCAGCCACACUGGGACUGAGACACGGCCCAGACUCCUACGGGAGGCAGCAGUGGGGAAGAUUUGGCAAUGGGCGAAAGCCUGAUGCAGCCAUGCCGCGUGAAUGAAGAAGGCCUUAGUGUUGUAAAGGACUUUCAGCGGGGAGGCGUUACCCGCAGAAGAAGCACCGGCUAACUCCGUGCCAGCAGCCGCGGUAAUAC
rnacentral:rRNA from 1 species